ensembl:lncRNA
UGGCGCAGGUGUCAGUGAAGCACAGGUGCAAGCCAGUUUAAAGACCCUAUUAUGAUGUCAUAAUGGCCCAAUGUAAGUCAAUGGGAGAAAUUGUAUUAGUUUUUAUUUAAUGUUUUAAAAAGUAUAAAGUUUAGAAAAAUGAAAAAUACAUAGCAUAAGUGUCCUUUACAAGACCUACGCGCCAAAGUUUGAACGAAGUUUUUAAGUUAAGCGGUUUGAGCUGAAUUAAGCGCAGAAGUUCGGUAAAGAGAAUAAUAAUAACUAGAAAAUGCAUUUCCUGAAGGAAAUACCAGUGCAUGAAAUGCUAAAGUUAAGAAAGGAAGAAGAAAAGAAAGAAGAGUGAAAGAAGGAAAGAAGAAAGGAAAGAAGAAAGGAAAGAAGGAAAGAAGAGAGGAAGAAGGAAAGAAGAAAGGAAAGAAGAGUGAAGAAAGGAAAGAAGAGUUGAAGAAGGAAGGAAGAGUGGAAGAAAGAAAGAAGAAAAGAAAGAAGAGUGAAGAAAUGAAAGAAGAGUAGAAGAAGGAAAGAAGAGUGGAAGAAGGAAAGAAGAGUGAAGAAAGAAAAGAAGAGUAGAAGAAGGAAAGAAGAGUGGAAGAAGGAAAGAAGAAAGGAAAGGAGAGUGGAAGAAGGAAAGAAGAGUGGAAGAACGAAAGAAGAAGAGUGGAAGAAGGAAAGAAUAAUAUUCCUAGUUAUACAGUUGAAUGGAGAGGGAC